GGGCCCCGCACAAGCAGCGGAGCGUGUGGUUUAAUUCGAUGUUACACGAAGAACCUUACCAGGGUUUAACAUGCAAGUGGUAGGAAGCCGAAAGGUGACCGACCCUUCGGGGAGCUUGCACAGGUGCUGCAUGGCUGUCGUCAGCUCGUGUCGUGAGAUGUUCGGUUAAGUCCGCUAACGAGCGCAACCCUCGCUGUGUGUUAUAUGUGUCACACGGGACUGCCGGUCUUAAGCCGGAGGAAGGUGGGGAUGAUGUCAAGUCAGCAUGGCCUUUAUAUCCUGGGCUACACACACGCUACAAUGGCCAACACAAUAGGUUGCUAAGCCGCGAGGUGGCGCCAAUCCAUAAAGUUGGUCUCAGUUCAGAUUGUAGGCUGCAACCCGCCUGCAUGAAGAUGGAGUUGCUAGUAACCGCAGGUCAGCUAUACUGCGGUGAAUACGUUCCCGGGGCUU
rnacentral:rRNA from 1 species